AGUUGCGAUGUCGGCUCUUCCCAUCCUGGUCCUGCAGCAGGGGCCAAGGGUGGGGCUGCUCGCCCAUCAAAGGGGAACGUGAGCUGGGUUUAGACCGUCGUGAGACAGGUCGGCCUCUACCUGAUGGAAGCGGUGGUUCACUGAGGGGAAGCCCUGCCCAGUACGAGAGGAACAGCGGGGCGUUGCCUCUGGCGUACCGGUCGUCCGAGAGGGCGUCGCCGGGCAGCUAAGCAAUUGUGGAUAACCGCUGAAAGCAUCUAAGCGGGAAGCCACUCCCGAGAAGAGUGAACCUUAGGCCUUAACCCCUGCAGCAAUGUGGGGGAGCGGGCCUUGGAGGGGAGCGAUAGAAGAUCGCGUUGAAGUGGUGGGGGUGUACGCUGGAAGCUUCGGCGACCAGUUCAGCCCGUCCACUAACUAUACCCCAACGCAGGAUGAGU
rnacentral:rRNA from 1 species